rnacentral:misc_RNA from 1 species
GGUUUAUUACCCAAGUUUGA